UGGUGGGGUGACUUGGCUGCUUAAUUGCGAUAACGAACGAGACCUUAACCUGCUAAAUAGCCCGCAUUGCUCCGGCAGUGCGCUGGCUUCUUAGAGGGACUUUCGGCUCAAGCCGAAGGAAGUUUGAGGCAAUAACA
rnacentral:rRNA from 1 species